rnacentral:ncRNA from 1 species
UAUAUCAGUAUACUUACAGUAUUUGUCGAUUUUGAAAAUGUAUGUUCAAUUUAAUUUUUCAAUAUUAUAGAUCAAAAACGGAUCAUAUUCACUAAUAUUAAAAUUCAGCACUGAAAGUUUAUUAUUGUACUUUUCAGUCCUAACUGGAUAGCGUUAGUGAUUGCAGUCAGCCUUGGGUCGGUAAUGGAUCUUUCAAAUGUCUGCCCUAUCAUUUUGUUGGUAGUUGAUUUCCCCACCAAGAUGAUAACGGGUAACGAGGAAUCAGGGUUCGAUUCCG